GCUCUGACUGUGUCAAAUGACUUUUAGCAAAAACAAUGUUUUCUCCAGCUCUGUUUCUGCUCUUAGCAGCUGGCUGUGUGAAGUGUGAGCAGCUGACACAACCAGCCUCUGUGACAGUACAGCCAGGUCAAAGUCUGACCAUCACCUGUCAGGUCUCUUAUUCUGUGAGCAGCUAUUGGACUCACUGGAUCAGACAGCCUGCAGGAAAAGGACUGGAGUGGAUUGGAGUAGCACGUUCUGGAUACACAACAUAUUAUAAAGAUUCACUCAGAAACAAGUUCAGCAUUUCCACAGACGCUUCCAGCAACAGAGUGACCCUAAAUGGACAGAAUGUGCAGACUGAAGACAGUGCUGUGUAUUACUGUGCCAGAGAGACACAGUAACACAAACCAUCAGCAGAACUGAACAAAAACCCUUCAGUGCCUGAACAGUUGUAACAUGAAGCCACCACAGGAGGAGCUCUUG